UGCUGACUCUUUCGCCACAAAUUUCUCUCACUCUUUCCUCCUGCAUCUUGCAGCUCACCUACGACGGACCUGCGUCCCGUCCAGGUGGGGAACCUAUACACCAAGGAAAUCGGGAACCCGGCUCUUAUGAGCCAGGCAUGGGUCGAGAAGGAGCAGACAAACAAACAUCAUAAGAAGCGCAAAUAUAUUAAAUAAACAU